AUUUAUGAACAAAUUACGUAAAUUACCAUCAAUUGUACUGUUCUUUCGGCGCUAAAUUCGUUGAUCCCGUUGCGGAAACAAUCCGAUGACAUUAAUCAAAAAGUGUCUCAAAUACGAAUAAGAUUGUAGAUUUGAAUGGGGCAUCUCGAUACCGAAAACUUUUUUUUGGCCAUACUUAUACAAUUUUUUUCAUUUUUGCAGGCAAGUUACAUCUCAACAUUCAUUAGCAUUGAAAAUAACAACAAAUGCAUGCAAAGGGCAAGAGACAGAAGUUAACUAUUUGGAACAUGUUCAAGCUGUAAUUACAAUUAAUUCAACUCGACGUGGAGAUUUAGAAAUUUUCCUCACCUCCCCUAUGGGAACAAGAUCAAUGAUUCUAAGCAGACGAAUUAAUGAUGACGAUUACAGAGAUGGGUUUACUAAAUGGCCAUUCAUGACCACACAUACCUGGGGCGAAUACCCUCAAGGGACAUGGUUACUAGAAGUGAAAUUCAACUCCGAACAACCUCGUACAGGAUGGCUUAAAGAAUGGUCUUUGGUGCUCCACGGAACUAAAGAUCCUCCCUAUCGUUCAUUGGCUCCAUCUUCACCUCAUUCUAAACUUGCUAUAAUUAAAAAAGCGCACGAAGAAAAAAAAAUUUAAAUCAAAAAAACUAUGGAAAACACUUCAAAAAAAUUGACAUUUGGUUCGACAUUAUUAAAAAAUUGCUUACAUUUUUUCUGCAAAUAAUUCCACAUUAAUUUGAAUGUUUAUCGAAGAAAAGAAAAUCUUCAAAAUUUUUAACAAGCAUUUAUUUUUAAGAACAUUUAAAAACGACAACAAACAAAAUAAUAUGUAAAAUAAAUGGGAAUGCAGCAAAUGACAUAACAAGUUUUUAUAAUGUUCUGAAUCAAUUGAUUAUUACAAAAAGCUAUUUUUUUCAUCAACAAAUAAAUAGAAAAUAUAUUUUUUUUUAAUGUCAAUUGAGUUUUGCAAAAAGUAUGUUAUUUCAGAAUUUUUUAAGAAAGAUCAAUAUGAAUUCACAUACACAGUCAGUUCUUCUUAGAAGACAGCAAAAAAUCUCUAAAAAUUUCAAACUUUGUAAAAAAAGUAAAAACAAAUGUAAAAAAAGUUAAAAUGUCACUUUUGGAAUUGAACGAUUUUUUUGUUUACAAAAGUGCUUGAGAAUCAAUAUUUUCUUGGCAGACCUUUAGAAAAAAUAGCCAAAAUUGAGCUUAUUACAUUAUUCAAUAACAAGAAUUCGAUCGAUUAAGAAAAUAAUACAAUUUUUUGCAAUUUUUAGUCGAAAAAUGAUACUUUGUGUAACAUUUGUCACUUUUGUAUAAUAUUUGUCAUUUUUGUGUAACAUUUGUCACACGCGUAUGUAACAUUUGUCGCUUUUGUGUAACAUUUGUCAUUUUUGUGUAACACAAGUUUUCUCCAAUCAAUCAACUAAAAACCAGUUUGAGCCCAAGCCGAGGCAAACCAAGAAGGGUUUUUCUAAAUUUGAUUUUUUUGCAGUUUUUCGUGUCUUGUGAAAAAAACUGACAGUAAUAUUGUUUUUGAAUUCAUUUGAUGUGUUAUCUUGAUAUCUAUUGAAUAUGACGAUAAGAGGUUUUUGCUCAGUACUUACGGCUGAAUAAGUGGAUAAUGGCUAAAUAGAACAUCGUUGUAUUCAAUAGAUAUCAAGCCUCUUCAUUUAUAACGUGAAAUUUAAACAAAUUAAUGGGAAUCAAAAAGUUUCAAAUUAUAUUUAAAUGGUUUUACCAGGUUUCUCUUAAAAUAGAAAUCCAAAUGUACAUUUCUUUGAAUACAUUCAGAAUAAUGUGGAUUUUUACGACCACAUGAAUGAACUUAAUUAUAACAAAAUCGUUUUUUUUUUCCUUUAUAAAUAUGGUGAGAAAAAUAUCAAAUAAAUAUGGAUUGCAUUGAGAUUUAAAAUGUGUGCAUUCAGUUUAUAAUUUUGUUGUUGUUUACGAAGAUACAUUAUUAGAUAAAGUAGAAACUUUAGUAGUUUGCCAAAUAAAAUCUAUAGUUCAAAAUCAAAACUGUUGUCAAUGAUCGAAUAUUGGACAUAAAUUGAAUGUUUUUGUGAUACAAAGAAGAAUGAAAACAUUUUGACAUGCUCAUUCAAACACAGGAUCAUCAACUCGAGUGAAUGUUUUGCACACGACAGUUCAUAGAGAAAAAAGUUCAUCUUACUGUACAUUAGGGUGUUUCCCAUAUCUGUAAAUAGAAAAAUGGUAUUUAUUAAUUCAAAGUAGGCAAAAUUUUAUGGUAGUUAAUGGCAUUUAUACAACGAAGCGAUUGAUGGUAGCACUUCCCGAAGCGAAAAACAAUUGUCACGUCUGAAUAUAUAAAUGCAAUCGAAUAAUGAAAAAUACUCACAGAAAAACAGAGCCUUGAUAGUACUUCCUCGAAAUGCUGAGACACAACAGUCAGUCUCAGUUAGUGUAACAAAAUUACAAUAUUAAUUUUUAAUUAAUUUUCGAGUUAAAAUAGUGAUUGGUUAUGCUUAAGGCUGUUGAUUAUUAUGAACUGCUUGUUGUCGACGUGGUCUCUGCAAUGUUAGCGGGAUAUCCAGUCCAAACAGGUUACAAUGUCCUAUAAAAAAAUACAAAUGUCAUUUAACACAGACAUAACACAUCUAUAAUAUGCAAAUGUCCAUUUCUUAUAUACAUACCUUUGAUGAGAAUGCAUUUGGCGGCCACGAUAUCACGAUCCCAAGUUGUCUGAUGCACAAUCAUUGGUUGUUGCUUGUCAUCGAUUUCCGUCACACAUUCAUCAUCGACUGCACACGGUUGUUGAGCGACCUCUCCAUCGAUUUCCGCUGCAUUUUCAUCAUCAACUGCAUGUGGUUGUUGAUCGACUUUGACGUCAGCAUAUUCCAAUACACCACUCACUGCGUUUACUUGCCAUUUUUUUGGAUACACGGCCACCUUAGACAGUAAACGAUCAGCUAUAAUGUCGAAAUCAUGCUCAGUCAUUUCACCUCGAGCCAGAAAUACCGCCAAACUCUCUUCAAUAUAAACUUUGUUAUACUUUAAACGCCGUUUGCUGAGCUGUGCCACGAUUUUCGAUGGUAAAAAGUUAGCCAUGAUUGAAUUUGGCACCGGUGCACAAUUUUCACAAACUUUGAAACGGUUGCUUUUGGUGUUUGGAUCGAAUCGUCCGCCACAUUUUGCGCAUGUCUGUGAUGUAAAAUACUCAUCGACUUUGCGCACGACACAAUUGCCACGUUUUCGAAAACCUUUCAAAAGUUUGCGUGUACCGGGACAGCGCACAUGCUUCUUAAUGCGUAUUGGCGAAUUUGGUGACAUGUCGGCGUUGCCCAAAUGAAUCAAAGCUGCUUGAUGAUUAACCAAAGUGCCGCAAAGUUUAUCUAUAGUACUAUUGGACUCAACAUACUUGUCAAACUUCAAGCGCGCAUAUUUUGGUGUAGUGUACACGUCCAUUCCUUUCUUGAGCAUUUUUAUCCGAUGGCAAAUGUAAUCAGUCCAAAGUGUACCAAGCGGUGAUGGCAUUCGCUGGUACAGCUGUCGAUUGUUUCGAUCAUUUUGCUCAUCCAAAGUGAACUGCUUCGUCCAGCGCUUGGCCUUUUUGUCGCGCAUUUUAUAUUUCGUGAGCCAAUGGUACUUUUUACUAGAUGUUUUCAAGUUGACCUGAAAUUAAAAUUAAAAAAAAAAAUCAAUUGAAAAUUUUGUUUGUUUGCUUCGUUCACGUAACAUAUAACUCUCGAUUUUUUAACAAUGCUAAAGAAAAAAUAAAUACUUACUUCUUUGCGAGUACUGAUGGUUCUUCGGACAGUCGCAUUCCAUGUCUUCAUACCCGGAUCGAUUCCCAGUUCAUAAACAAACGUUCCAUCCAAGUAUCGCUUUCUCACAAUGUCAUCAUCCAGCAACCGUUGAAGAUGUUGUUUUGACAAUUUAUACAAUACCGAUACUGAUUCACCGUUGCUAACAAUAGUAUAAUGAAACUCUUUGUUUUUCUUCAAUAUUCGAUUGAUUUUGUCAAAAUCGAAUAUUUGGUUCCAGAAGUGUUCUUUGUUUUCGCGAAUGAAUGUUUCGGUAACUUGUUUACCUUCGACUUUUGGAAGGAGUUUCUCUUCUGCCAACAUUCUGUAGAAAACAUCAUUGCACAUGAACACUGCCUUUCGCUGAUAAUCUGGCAAUGGAACAACAGACAGAUUUUUGAUCUUCGGUAUUGUGACGUUGUUGUCUUGCGCCCAAUUGUGAAACUCAUCGAUUUCGCUUUGCAUGACAAGCCACAUUGCAGUUGCUUUGAACCAGUAUUUGCCUUUUGAGAACUGCUUGAUGUUGUCAUAAUUCGCUAGUCCACCAACCUCUUCCACAAUUGCACGAACCAUGUCAAGCAGCAACUUUCUUUUGUAUCGUUUAAGAGGUGCAUUCUGAUGUGUGUCUCGAAUGGCAUCAUAGCGUCGAAUCGCCCAAUCAAUUGCAUUGUCAACAUCCUUUUUAUCGAACCUCAAACCGGUUGACACUGCAUUAAACUGCCAAGCUCUCAUUUGCAAAUAAUUUCGCAGCCGCUUCUUUGCAUGUGUCGUUUGAUUCGUUUUCAAUUGGCGCGUAUAACUUUGGCAUAAAGAUUUCAUGAUGUUGCCGAAAUAAUUGUUGUUUGGCCAGGCAAAUUGAUUGUCUCGGCUCAGUCCUUGCUCAACAAAAUGACGAAUGUGUGGUUCCAUGUCCUCGUUUUCUUUGUUCUUUUGCAAAACUGCAUAGAAGCAGCGCUCAAUCACAUCUUCGGCACGAUUUUUUUCAACCAAUUUUCCUUUUUGGUUAACAUACAUUCUAUUCGUGAAAAAGUCCCAUUGGCGAUUGUUUUGCGCGGACUUCACUUUGUCAAGGAACAGCAAUGAGGCCAAAACGCUGAUCUUUGUUGACAUGACACUUUUCUUUUCGAUCCAAUGUAUGACAACAUCAUGGUACUCCGGCCGAACAAUUGUUGUGAGGCGCAUUUUUAUCGCUAAUAAGCCAUUGUCAUUGAAGUUUUCGUCCUCGGCCUCCUCCUCUUGUUGCUUUUUUGUUUGAUAUUUAUAUCGUUUCUUUUUCGCCUGUGCAGCCGAUGUUUCACCAGUUGUCGACAUGUUGAACUGCAACGAAAUAGAAAAAAACACGCACAAUUUACUAUAAAAACACUGAUAAAAUCACACAUAUGUAUUUUGCACUGUGCAAUUUGUAAAUGAAUCAAUAGAAAGCACAUAAAACGGAGAUAGAAUUAACACUUGAUCUUACCUGAUUGAUGGACACGACUGAAGUGAUAUUCAAAAUCGAAAAAGAACUCUCUCGAAUGCACAUCACACUAACACAGUCCAAAGUUGUAUCGAAAUAUUUGCAGUUUCAGCUUGAGAACGUUUUGUUGAUAUCAAAACAAAACAAAAUCGAACACAAGUUUCACUGAAAAUAUCUCUCUUGCAAGUUAUCGAUUGACAAUGAUCCGAAUGUUGAAUCUGUUGUAUUCAUAAAAAAACCAUCAACAGAGUGAAAUUAACUCCUUCGAAAGCAUAAAACAAAUACAAAAUACGCCGACACAUUCAAAUUAUAUGUUUUAGCACUUUAACAAUCGAAUGCAUAGAAAUUAUGCAAGGAAUGCAAAUUCAAAUAAAAAAAAACAAUGAUUCUUAAAAGUUUCACCACGUUUAAAAUGUGACAGAUCAUUCGACUAACACACAACUCACACUGCAUUCCGAUGUAAAAAAAUAUUCCUAUACUGUAAACACACACAUUUUUUGUUUAUAAACCGUUUGAAUAAGGAAAUUGUGUGUGCUGAACUAAUGAACGGACUCACAGUUUGUGUAUGUGUAAACACUAACAAGCAAACGAAACGGCAUGAUUAUUAGCCUGUCGCGAUGGAUAUACUCAAAUCUGUAUGGACUGCUGUGUGUUAAUGUGUUGUAUGGACUGCUUGUGUGUUAAUGUUGAUUCAAAUCAUAUACCGAC